rnacentral:rRNA from 1 species
ACAGCAGUCGCCACGGGAAUACAGAGGGUGCGAGCGUUAAUCGGAUUUACUGGGCGUAAAGCGUGCGUAGGCGGCUUUUUAAGUCGGAUGUGAAAUCCCUGAGCUUAACUUAGGAAUUGCAUUCGAUACUGGGAAGCUAGAGUAUGGGAGAGGAUGGUAGAAUUCCAGGUGUAGCGGUGAAAUGCGUAGAGAUCUGGAGGAAUACCGAUGGCGAAGGCAGCCAUCUGGCCUAAUACUGACGCUGAGGUACGAAAGCAUGGGGAGCAAACAGGAUUAGAUACCCGGGUAGUCCCUGUCUCUUAUAA